rnacentral:rRNA from 1 species
AUUGAACGCUGGCGGCAGGCCUAACACAUGCAAGUCGAGCGGGGUUUUCGGACCUAGCGGCGGACGGGUGAGUAAUGCGUAGGAAGCUGCCCGAUAGAGGGGGAUACCAGUUGGAAACGACUGUUAAUACCGCAUAAUGUCUACGGACCAAAGUGUGGGACCUUCGGGCCACAUGCUAUCGGAUGCGCCUACGUGGGAUUAGCUAGUUGGUGAGGUAAUGGCUCACCAAGGCGACGAUCUCUAGCUGGUUUGAGAGGAUGAUCAGCCACACUGGAACUGGGACACGGUCCAGACUCCUACGGGAGGCAGCAGUGGGGAAUAUUGGACAAUGGGCGCAAGCCUGAUCCAGCCAUGCCGCGUGUGUGAAGAAGGUCUUCGGAUUGUAAAGCACUUUAAGUCGGGAGGAAGGGCUGUAGGCUAAUACCUUGCAGUUUUGACGUUACCGACAGAAUAAGCACCGGCUAACUUCGUGCCAGCCGCCGCCGUAAUAC